UGAGGAAUAUUGGUCAAUGGGCGAGAGCCUGAACCAGCCAAGUAGCGUGUGGGACGAAUGCCCUAUGGGUUGUAAACCACUUUUGCAGGAGGGUAAAAUGCUUCACGUGUGGAGUAUUGCAAGUAUCCUGCGAAUAAGGACCGGCUAAUUCCGUGCCAGCAGCCGCGGUAAUACGGAAGGUCCGGGCGUUAUCCGGAUUUAUUGGGUUUAAAGGGAGCGUAGGCCGGAGAUUAAGCGUGUUGUGAAAUGCCGCGGCUCAACCGUGGCACUGCAGCGCGAACUGGUUUUCUUGAGUGCGCGCGACGCAGGCGGAAUUCGUGGUGUAGCGGUGAAAUGCUUAGAUAUCACGAGGAACCCCGAUUGCGAAGGCAGCUUGCGGGAGCGCAACUGACGCUGAAGCUCG
rnacentral:rRNA from 1 species